ACGCAGGUUUGAUCCCUGGCCUCGCCCAAUGGGUCUCGGAUCCAGUGCUGCCGUGAGCUGUGGUGUAGGCCACAGAUGGAGCUCGGAUUCCGAAUUGCUGUGGCUGUGGUGUAGGCCAGUGGCUAUAGCUCCAAUUGGAUCCCUAGCCUAGGAACCUCCAUAUGCUGCAAGUGCAGCCCUAAAAAGCAAAAAAGAAAGAAAAUAAGAAUCUGUAACUGUGUGGUCAUGGAUGCUAGCUAGACUUAUUGUGGUGAUCAUUUUAUAAUGUGUAUAAAGUCAUUAUGUUGUACACCUGAAACUAAUACAAUGUAUGUCAAUUAUACCUCAAUUUCUAACAAAAGAAAGAGAAAGGGAGGUUCGAGCUGUAGUUUGGAAACAGACAAAAACAUUCUCUUUUCCCUUAUUUGUCCCUUGUGGUUCCUUUCUGAACUCCACUAAGAGACCACUACAUAAGCCUAGGAAAAGCAAUUCACCAAAAGUCCAGUUUUUCUUUUCCUGUGACCCAGCUGUGCCUGCUUGAGAAAGCAGAGGCCUGGCCUCCCAAGCCCUGGCCAGACCUGACUGUGAGCCCAGCCCGGGGCCUCAGGAGGCCAGUGCUGCUUUCCCCACGCCCCGUACCCCCCAGCCCUGCGGCCCGUCUGCAUCGCUGCCUGCACACAGGCUCUCUGCAGCAGAGCUAGUAAUAAGCUCAUCCUGAUUUUCCCCCCACCAAUACUUCUUAGAUGCAACUUAAGGUUUUCUGUGGUCUCAAGUAGUCAGUCACCUUUUGAUCCUAUGACCUACAAAUAAGUCAACCACUGUUUGAGGAAAUGGAAAAGUCCUUCAGAUUAACCGAGGUCCAAGUCAACCCUGAAUUGAGAAGUCACCCGACUGGCACCAAACAAAUUCCAGAAACCCAUUUGUUCCUAAUUGUAUCACCAAAAGGGGAAAAAAUACUUAAGGUCUUAGAAAUUCCUCAAGAGAAUAUUCACUUAUGCAUUUGGUAGUUUUAUAACACUGAAUUUGUAUGACAUCUGCAAGGCAUAUUUUGACUAUAUAUUAGAAUUCUCCUUUUCACCCUUUUUGGGUCAGUGGAAUUUUAUCCAUAAUUGGUUUUUGUUUUGUUUUUUAAGACAAAUUUAGGGCUGCCACUCCCUACCUUGCUUUACCAAGUGCUAAAAAACAACAGCAGAGGACCUGGACUUUAAGCUCUCAACCCCAUCUGAGUACAGCGAAACUUAUGCCAGUUCCUCCUAUAGUGUGUUCUCUGGACCAAUUACUCCCUUGUACCAGGGCCAAAAUAUUUUACAGAAUCACUCAUUUUAUCUCAGAGAUUAUGCUUGGUUUUGAAUAUUUUAAAUAAUUUAGUACAAUUGAACCCUCUUAUAACCCAGCUUCUCAAUGCAUUAACUUGAAUACUUCCAGGUCAGACUGAGUCCCAGCUUGACUACACCAAAGACAGAAGGAUUGCUUUAAGGAGGACUAACAUCCCAAGGAUACUUCUGUUAGGAGGACUUGAACUUUAUUGGAAGAAAAUAUAUCUUACAUAUAAGAUAGCUAGAGGAUGGAUAGAAGAUAAAUGAGGAUACUUGGAUGGUUUACUGACCUGCACUCUGGCUUCAGUCACUCCCAUGCAUCUUGCAAACUCCUUUCUGAAAGAAAAAAAUGACAAACGUUCAGUAAUCAUAGAUGUGGAUGAAGUUAAAACACGUGGCUGUUAUUUCAUGCUUGUUUUAAAAUGUUUAUCCCCUGCAUGCCCCCCACCCCAGUACACUUUUCUGUAAUACUCAGCUUACAGAGGUUUUCCCUCCUGCACAAAAUUUAAUGUGCCACAAAAAAAAAAAUCUGUAAUCAAAAUAGUGUUUUGUGAGGCUACAAAUAACAAAUGCUGGUAAGGGUGUGGAGAAAAGGGAACCCUCCUACACUGUUGGUGGGAAUGUCAGUUGGUACAACCACUAUGAAAACAAUAUGGAGGUUCCUCAGAAAACUAAAUAUAGAACUAUCAGGAGUUCCCGUCGUGGCGCAGUGGAAAUGAAUCCGACUAGGAACCAUGAGGUUGAGGGUUUGAUCCCUGGCCUCGCUCGGGGGUUAACGAUCCGGCAUUGCUGUGAGCUGUGGUGUAGGCUGGCAGCUGUAGCUUCAAUUAGACCCCUAGCCUGGGAACCUCCAUAUGCCAUGGGUGCAGCCCCAAAAAAGCAAAAAAAAAAAAAAAAAAA
rnacentral:lncRNA from 1 species